AGCACGGCGCUAGCUACGUCCAAGACAGUACGGUAAUUUUUGCGCCUUCAGUGACAUUUAGCCCUUUCAGUUUAAACCUGACUAUAUUGAAACAGAAGGCAAUGUAAGAACAAAUGGAAAUUAGGAGGACGAACAGACGAAGAGAAGAGAUUCGGUCGAAAAAGCCGGUGAGUUUGUGCGACUGGCUGCUACUUGGAAAUGUCAACCCAGAAGAGGAGACGAUGCUGCAACCAGCUCCGGUUUCUAACAAACUGUUUACGUUUAAAAGCCUGGCUUCCCUUGGGCUGUAAAGAAAGAAGGAAUGACUGAAGACUUUUGCACAGUGCCGUCACCCCUCCAGUGAUUUAUGGCUGCGGCUCAGGGUGUCACCAGAGCAGGAAAACAUCCAGAUGGAGGCGUCCUGAUCAGCUGCCUGAACCGUCUCAGCUGGGACUUCUUAACGCAGACGAGAUUCAGCCGUCCAGGGUUUGUUUUCACCACAGAGCCACGCCGAAUCGUGAAGAGGCCUUGGAUGCAACAACUGAGUUUAUCACUUUUAAUGAGAGGCUCUGCAGUGGGCCACACUCCAUUACGCAUGAGCCAGAUGAUAAAUUACAUCGCCUUCCACGACUCCGUGACCCCCCAGGGGAUGUUUAAUUAAUCAGAAGCUGGACACGGCCACCGGUAUUCGAAGAAACAAGUGGCCGGAGCUGCCCUGGACACACACUCACUCCCACACAUCAUUAUUUGCCUUCCAGCCGCCUCACCUUGAAGUCGUGUGUGGAAACUAAAGAGUGAGAACAGAGAGAGGGACGGACAGAGGGACGGACGGACGUCUUCAGGACCCCAAGGGGCUGUACAAACUCAGCAUCAGUUUAAAAAAGGAUUACCUUCAUAAAGCACUGAUAAAUGCCACAUGUGAAGCAAGUACAUACUUCAUAAAUUAGUAGACAUUUUUUCAAAUGAAUGUUUUCACAGAUUGUGAAAUUGAAAAAGGAGUAACUACAACAUAUUUCUUCUAAAUGUUCGGUGUAAUUUUAUGAAUGAGUUUAAUCCUGUUUUAUAAUGUCUUUACACUGCAAAAACACAAUUUUACCAAGUGUUUUUGUCUAGUUUCUAGUAGGGCUGGACAA